GUUUUUUUGCAAAUAAACCACUGUAUUAAACAAUAACAAAGGAGUGGUUGAUCGAUAUUAUUUAAAAGCGUUGUUUAGACUUAGGAAACGAUAGUACCCUAAGAUUCAAUCCCCGUUUUGUGCGGCCAAGAAAAUGACCAUCAAUUUUCAAAGUUCUGUAGGAAACUUAAAUCUCAACCAAAUUCAAUUUCCUUUUCAUAAUUUGAAAGCUUAUCAAUGUUUCUUUCUGCUAGUGAAAGGUGGUUAUACGGACUUUAAUUUAAAGUUUCGGAAACACCCUGUCACUAUUAGGCUGUAAAAACAUUGAUCCUCGAUUUCUACGUUUUAUAUUUUUUCAUAAUUUCUGAGAUACCUCUUUAUUAUAUAAUCUGAAGAUUAGUUGACAGGUCUUUCAAAUUUUCGUUAAAGUAAAUAAGUAUUAAUAAAAGAAUCGAUAAAUACAUCAUUGAGAUACAGAAGGAAUAACGCACGCUCAUUCGACGGGACUCCUGUGGUAUAUAUCAUUUGUAGUGUUACCUUGGCAACAGUUUAUCUGAAGACAGUUUGAGUUGGAGAUCUGUUUUCGAGACGAGCCGUGGUUGCACGAUCCUUCAUCAUCGAAAAUCAUCCACCAUCCGAAGUUAAACAUCCAUUUUUACCUUCUAAAUACGUUGUAUAAAGAUUUUGGAGCACAUCCGGAAGGUUAAAUAAUCACUUCUACUGCCCUGCCUGGUGUGUGGUGGAUAAGAGGCUCAACUCAGUUUGAUUAGCAUUGGUCACCUGUACAGCAGAUAUGGGGUUCAACUACAGUGAUUAUAAGGAUUAGCCCAGUUUGAAUAGCAUUGGUCUUAUGUACAGUGAAUAUAUGAAUUAGCCCAGUUUGAAUAGCAUUGGUCUUGUGUACAAUGGAUUAGGCGCUCAGCUCAGUUUGCUUAGCAUUAGUCUGGUGUGCGGUGCAUAAUUCCAUUUUGAUUAUUAUUGGAUAAGGGGCCAUGCACAGUUUAAUAAGGAUUGGUUGGGUUUACAGUGGAAAAGGUGCUUAGCUCAGUCUUGUGUACAAUAGGGGGUUUAGUUCAGUAUGCUUAGCAUCAGUCUGGUGUGUGGUUGAUAAGGGACCUAGUCAGUUUGAUUAUUAUUGUUCCCAUAUACUAGCUCAGUUUGAUUAAUUUGUCUGGUGUGUGAUGGAUAACUGGCUGAGUUCAAUUUGACGUAAAGUGCACUUGUAGCUCAGUUUGAUUAGCAUUGGCCCCUUGUGUGUUGGCUAGGGGCUAAGCUCAGUUGAAUUAGGAUUGUCUUGUGUACAAGGGGCUUAGCUCAGUUUGAUGAUAUAACUGGAGGCAUCAGUCUGAUGAUAACUGGCUUAAGUCCAAUUUGAUGGAAAAGGUGCUCGGCUCAGUCUUAUGUACAGUUGAUAUGGGCUGGUUCAGUUUGAUAAGCACCAGAAUCUGGUGUGUGUUGGACAUCAGUAUCUGGUGUGUUGUGCAUUUCAAUUCUGUACAGUGAA